rnacentral:rRNA from 1 species
UACGGAGGGUGCAAGCGUUAUCCGGAUUUACUGGGUUUAAAGGGCGCGCAGGCGGAUUGGUAAGUCAGUGGUGAAAUACCCGUGCUUAACAUGGGAACUGCCAUUGAUACUAUCAGUCUUGAAUAUCGUUGAGGUUUGCGGAAUGGGUCAUGUAGCGGUGAAAUGCAUAGAUAUGACCCGGAACACCUAUUGCGAAGGCAGCAGGCUAAACGAAGAUUGACGCUGAGGCUCGAAAGCGUGGGGAUCAAACAGG